GUCCUUUUGGAUUUUUAUUUAAGGUCUAGUCUGCCCACUGAAUUUAUAUUUUAAAUGGCCGCAGUAUUUUGACUGUGCAAAGGUAGCAUAAUCAUUAGUUUUUUAAUUAAAAGCUUGUAUGAAAGGCUGGACGAGGUAAAAUCUGUCUCUAUUUAAAUUAUAAUAGAAUUUAACUUUUAAGUCAAAAGGCUUAAAUAUUAUUAAAAGACGAGAAGACCCUAUAGAGCUUUAUAAUUUAUUAAAUAUAAUUAAUUUAGAAAUUUUUAUGUUUUAUUUAAUUAAAUUAUUUUAUUGGGGUAAUAGAAAGAUUGAAUUAAUUCUUUUUUAUUAUAAACAUUGAUUUAUGAAUAUUAAAUGAUCCAGUUUUACUGAUUAUAAGAUUAAGUUACCUUAGGGAUAACAGCGUAAUUUUUUUAGAGAGUUCAUAUCGAUAAAAAAGUUUGCGACCUCGAUGUUGGAUUAAAGAUUAUUUUAGGUGUAGAAGCUUAAUAAUUUUGGUCUGUUCGACCAUUAAAUCUUUAC
rnacentral:rRNA from 1 species